GUCCCUGUAACGCAAUGAAUAGCGCGUUGGACAUCCAAUACAAAGGUCGUUGGUUCGAGUUCUACCUGGGAUG